UACGGGGGGGCAAGCGUUGUUCGGAAUUACUGGGCGUAAAGGGCUCGUAGGCGGCCAACUAAGUCAGACGUGAAAUCCCUCGGCUUAACCGGGGAACUGCGUCUGAUACUGGAUGGCUUGAGUGUGGGAGAGGGAUGCGGAAUUCCAGGUGUAGCGGUGAAAUGCGUAGAUAUCUGGAGGAACACCGGUGGCGAAGGCGGCAUCCUGGACCAUUACUGACGCUGAUGAGCGAAAGCCAGGGGAGCAAACGGG
rnacentral:rRNA from 1 species